GGUCUACUGGCGCAAUGGUAGCGUAUCAGCCUUCUACUUCCGUACGUGAAGAGGGGCGAGCUGAGGGUUGCGGGUUCGAGCCCCGCGUGGACCU